rnacentral:rRNA from 1 species
UCUACGGGUGGCAGCAGUGAGGAAUAUUGGUCAAUGGGCGCGAGCCUGAACCAGCCAAGUAGCGUGAAGGAUGACUGCCCUACGGGUUGUAAACUUCUUUUAUAAAGGAAUAAAGUGAGUCACGUGUGCCUUUUUGUAUGUACUUUAUGAAUAAGGAUCGGCUAACUCCUUGCCAGCAGCCGCGGUAAUACGGAGGAUCCGAGCGUUAUCCGGUUUUAUUGGGGUUAAAGGGAGCGUAGAAGGGUUUUUAAGUCAGUUGUGAAAGUUUGCGGGUCAACCGUAAAAUUGCAAUUGAUACUGGCAGGCUUGAGUACAGUUGAGGUAGGCGGAAUUCGUGGUGUAGCGGUGAAAUGCUUAGAUAUCACGAAGAACUCCGAUUGCGAAGGCAGCUUACUAAACUGCCACUGACAUUGAUGCUCGAAAGUGUGGGUAUCAAACAGGAUUAGAUACCCCAGUAGUC